rnacentral:rRNA from 1 species
UACGUAGGGGGCAAGCGUUGUUCGGAAUUACUGGGCGUAAAGCGCACGUAGGCGGACAUUUAAGUCAGGGGUGAAAUCCCAGAGCUCAACUCUGGAACUGCCUUUGAUACUGGGUGUCUUGAGUAUGGAAGAGGUGAGUGGAAUUCCGAGUGUAGAGGUGAAAUUCGUAGAUAUUCGGAGGAACACCAGUGGCGAAGGCGGCUCACUGGUCCAUUACUGACGCUGAGGUGCGAAAGCGUGGGGAGCAAACAGG